rnacentral:rRNA from 1 species
UACGUAGGGACCAAGCGUUGUUCGGAUUUACUGGGCGUAAAGGGCGCGUAGGCGGCAAUUCAAGUCAGUUGUGAAAUCUCUGAGCUUAACUCAGAACGGUCAACUGAUACUGCUUUGCUAGAGUACAGAAGGGGCAAUCGGAAUUCUUGGUGUAGCGGUGAAAUGCGUAGAUAUCAAGAGGAACACCUGAGGUGAAGACGGGUUGCUGGGCUGAUACUGACACUCAGGGACGAAAGCUAGGGAGCGAAUGGG